rnacentral:tmRNA from 1 species
GGGGGUGAACGGUUUCGACUUCGUAUGGUGAACCAGGGGAAGCGGGCCGAGGAUGUCGCGUCAUCUCGUAAACGAUCGCGGCAACGUGAUAAGUGCCAACGAAAAGCGCACUGACUUCGCCCUCGCCGCCUGAGGCGAGCGCUUGAAGUCUGUCGACCCGGGAGUGCUUCCGGCCCGGUGUUCGGCAUCAUUGAGGAGGCUCACCUGCCGGUAUGGCCACGGGGCCGGUAGGGACAUGUACGUGGCUGGGCUCGUCACGGUGACUUGUCUGCGUGAUCACCGGAGCCGAGUAGAGGCAUAGCAGACUGCGCCCGGAGAAGCCUUGGGGAAGCAUCGAAGGACCCGGGUUCGAUUCCCGGCACCUCCACUU